ensembl:lncRNA
GCUAGGUUGAGAGGUACAGACUGACUGGCACCCAGGCUAGGUUGAGAGGUACAGACUGGCACCCAGGCUAGGUUGAGAGGUACAGACUGACUGGCACCCAGGCUAGGUUGAGAGGUACAGAUUGACUGGCACCCAGGCUAGGUUGAGAGGUACAGACUGGCACCCAGGCUAGGUUGAGAGGUACAGAUUGACUGGCACCCAGGCUAGGUUGAGAGGUACAGACUGGCACCCAGGCUAGGUUGAGAGGUACAGACUGACUGGCACCCAGGCUAGGUUGAGAGGUACAGAUUGACUAGCACCCAGGCUAGGUUGAGAGGUACAGAUUGACUGGCACCCAGGCUAGGUUGAGAGGUACAGACUGACUGGCACCCAGGCUAGGUUGAGAGGUACAGACUGACUGGCACCCAGGCUAGGUUGAGAGGUACAGACUGACUGGCACCCAGGCUAGGUUGAGAGGUACAGACUGACUGGCACCCAGGCUAGGUUGAGAGGUACAGAUCGACUGGCAUCUACAGGUGUUUCACUCAUUAUGUCCUUUACGUUUCCACGCAGCAUCCAGCUAUUCACAAUCUUGCACAUGCUGCCCAUGAUGGUGUCAUGACU